UCUGCUGUGGCUGCUGCCUCCAAAGGUCUCCUUCGUAGUGGCUUCAGUUUCACUCAUGCCAUCCUCAUCGCUGGAGAGAGCACGACAGUGCACCAGUCGGUCAGAAGACUCCAUGGAGAGCUGCAGCUGGAAGCCUGAGCAAGAAGCGUCUAGGCUCCAGUCAAGGAUAUCGCCCAGAAGAGUCUCCUCCUGAGUGAACAGUUCAGCUGUGGGUGUGGCCACAAAGCUGCCUCGAUGGAGAAGACAGGAAGGUAUGCAUGUCCGCUGAAUGGCCACUGGCACUAGGAGGGUCAAAUUUGGGUUCCACAUCUGGAACCUCCAGGACUUGGCACAGUUCUUUAAACCCCAUUACCUGAGAAAUACAAACACCACCAAUGGGUAUAAACAACAAAAACACACUUUUACACAGCACGUUCACAGUAAAAUCUUGACAGCAUUUUAUGACCAGAUCUAUACCAAAUUUCAUGCAACUUAUAACUGGAUUGUUUAUUGAAAAGAUGCAUG